UACGUAGGGGGGCAAGCGUUUGUCCGGAAUCAUUGGGCGUAAAGAGCGUGUAGGCGGCCCGAUAAGUCCGCUGUGAAAGUCCAGGGCUCAACCCUGGAAUGCCGGUGGAUACUGUCGGGCUCGAAUCCGGAAGAGGUGAGUGGAAUUCCUGGUGUAGCGGUGAAAUGCGUAGAUAUCAGGAGGAACACCGGUGGUGUAGACGGCUUUCUGGACCGUAACUGACGCUGAGACACGAAAGCGUGGGUAGCAAACAGG
rnacentral:rRNA from 1 species